GGUGAGCGUAACGUCUCGCUGUCACCUGAGUGGGGGUCGUCCGUUGGUGGCAGGAGAAUCGCGCUU
rnacentral:SRP_RNA from 16 species